rnacentral:rRNA from 1 species
GAUGAACGCUGGCGGCGUGCCUAAUACAUGCCAGUCGAGCGAACAGACGAGGAGCUUGCUCCUCUGACGUUAGCGGCGGACGGGUGAGUAACACGUGGAUAACCUACCUAUAAGACUGGGAUAACUUCGGGAAACCGGAGCUAAUACCGGAUAAUAUAUUGAACCGCAUGGUUCAAUAGUGAAAGACGGUUUUGCUGUCACUUAUAGAUGGAUCCGCGCCGCAUUAGCUAGUUGGUAAGGUAACGGCUUACCAAGGCAACGAUGCGUAGCCGAACUGAGAGGGUGAUAGGCCACACUGGAGCUGAGACACGGUCCAGACUCCUACGGGAGGCAGCAGUAGGGAAUCUUCCGCAAUGGGCGAAAGCUUGACGGAGCAACGCCGCGUGAGUGAUGAAGGUCUUCGGAUCGUAAAACUCUGUUAUUAGGGAAGAACAAAUGUGUAAGUAACUAUGCACGUCUUGACGGUACCUAAUCAGAAAGCCACGGCUAACUACGUG